AGAAAAGCCGCCAAACCCUCCAACCUGAACCUCCAGCGACGCGACAUGGCCGACGACCCCAACGUCGGCGGCGAUGCAGACCGCACCGAGCCUCGAAUCGCUUGGGGGAUUCCUCCAGAUUCGUCGGUUUCGAUCUUGAUGCGGGUGGCUGCUUUCGGACCGGUACCUUCCGCUUGCUGUGGUAUUCAAUGGUGUGACGACUGAGCAGCCACUGUGCGUUGUGGAGAUUACGGACAAGGCAGGGUUUUCAAUGGUGCUGAUAGAUCCAUAGCAGUGCUUGAAAUGGCAGUAUUUGAUUAGCUCCUUUUUAUAACUUGGGAUGUGCUGAUUAUGUUAUUAGUGUUUUCUUUGCGAAAACUCAUUUCAUCUGUAGUUUUUAAUGUGUCAAAAUAGCACGACUUAACACAUGAAGUCAUAAAGGUACAUUGAGCUUUGAAACUCAAAACUGAAUGGGGAAGUGCAACUUUAUUAUAUGCUGUAGAUGUGAACCUAUGUUUCCUUAACCGUUCACCUGCCCACUUGAUGCAACCAUCCAAGUUACUUGACAGUGCCAAAAACUCAUGUGCAUGGAAAUACUGACCGCUGGCCUUUCCUAUUUCGAUUGCUCAUGACGAAGAUUUGCUGGUAGUGUUUUGCAUUUUUUUUUUUGGUCAAAAUGCUAAACACAUCCACGUGAUAAUGGGUUGUCAAAAUCCAAGGAUAGAGACGUAGAUAGAGAAAAAGACCAGGACAGGGAUCAUCACAGGGACCGUGACAGAGAUAGAGGAAGGGACAGGGAUCGGGAUCGCCACAGUAGGCAUCACCGUGGAAGAAAGGAACACAGACCAUCCUGAUGAUCAGGAUCGUUACAGAGGCCUUAAUUCUGAAAGGAGAAGAGACUGCGAAAGAGAUGGGCAUUGGAGGCAUCGUUCUCGCUAACGGUCUCGUUCAAGGGGAAGGGAUUGCAGAUCUAGGUCUCGCUCUCGUUCAAGAAGGUAUCUCCUCUUAAUUGAUGACAUGUGGUCUGCAAAAACAUGGGAGAGUAUCAGAAUUUGUUUGCCAGCGAAUAACAAAGGCAGUAGAAUAAUUGUGACAACAAGAUUUCAAGCUGUUGGUGCGACGUGCUCCCAAGGAGACAGAAUUGAUCUUCUGCAUACAAUUGAUUUUCUCAAUGGUGAUGACUCCAAGAGGUUAUUUGAUCAAAGUGUUUCUGAAUCCUGAAGCAGCAGACAUAGUGACAAAGUACGUGACCAAGUCGCUGAGGAGAUAUGGAAAAUAUGCGCCGGGGGGGGGGGGGGGGCUGCCUUUGGCCAUAGUUACCAUAGCUGGAUUUGUUGCCUGCAAUCCAAGCAGGUGUGAAGUUUGUAGAUCGCUAUUUCCUGAGCCAGUAGAUCGUCUUACUCUGGAUGGGGUUACAAGGAUACUCGACUGUUGCUACAACGAUUUGCCUGGAGAUCUCAAGACCUGCUCAUUGUACAUGAGUAUAUUUCCAAAAGGUUGGAAAAUUAGCAAGAAGCGAUGGAUAGCUGAAGGUUUUGUUAGUGAGAAGAAAUGUUUGACAAAGGAGGAUGUCGCAUAAACUUACUUUAAUCAGCUCAUGAGAAGGAAGAUAGUACGCCCUGUGGAGCACAGCAGCAAUGGAAAGGUAAAAACCUUUCAAGUUCAUGACAUGGUUCUUGAAUAUACCGUGUCCAAGUCAAGCGAAGAAAAUUUUAUUACUACUGUGGUUGGUGGCCACUGGAUGAUGCCAGCGCCUAGCAAUAAAGUCCGUCGACUCUCCAUGCAGAGCAGUGGUUCCAAUCACAGAAAUUCAACAAAAGGCGUAAACUUGUCUCAAGUGCGGUCGUUGACUGUUUUUGGGAAUCUGAAUCAACUUCAUUUCCAUUCAUUCAAUAAUGGAAUAAUACAAGUGGUCGACUCUUUUUUUUUUUUGGUGUUUCUGUCAUGUUUGACUGGUCUAUCACGGUGUUACAGUUUUUGUUCGGUUGUCGGUUCUCAAACCAUUGUAAUCCUUUUUGUUUGGUUGUAACAUAUUGUUUUAUGGUAUUAAAAUUCAGGGAUUAUUAAUGUAUUGUGAUGAAUUGUUGUU